ensembl:lncRNA
CGGCCUGAGGAGGACGGGAGUGCGGCGGCGCGGCGGUGGCCAGGCUAGACUGAGAAGCUGUAGGUCCUUGACGUGAGGAGGCUGAGGCCUUCCGGUCGUGGGGAGGAGUCCGGGGAGCGGCCAAGCGGUGGUUUUCGUGGCGGACCUUCCUCGCUUCCGGGCCUCGCAGACACUUCUGACACGCCCCGGCUAGUUCCGGGAAGCCGGCAGCUGCUCAGCUAAAAUUCCGGUUUCCCGAGUAACUGCCUGGAAGGUGGUAAUACGCGGAACCUCCAAAUCGUGUGACAGGUUCAGAAGGUCUUCUCUUCCGAUCUGACCUUUUGUGGCUGAACCUUUUUUUGAUUUAAUUUAAAUCCUGGAUGAUCAGUAGAAUCUCUUCUCUGUAUUUUUUUCAGGAGCAAUCUGUAAAACCCAAGUCUUUGUGAGCACUUGAAAACUAUGAGAAAGAGAAGAAAGAGGAGAGGGAGCUUGGAUGUCCAUUUAUUCUGUCCCAGUCCUUAUCUAGGACUUCUCUGAGGCACAUGUCCAUCUAACUGCCCUCAUUACCAGCUUUUAAUACUGCAUUGCAAGUCGAAGUAGACAGGAUGCGAAGACCAUAGUGCAGAUGGUUCGUCAAUGAACGAAGGACUACAGAUUGACAUUAACUGUCACAACCCAGAAACAGCAGGAUUGGGUUGUGUCCACAAACAUCAAAGCAUUCAGAAACGAAAAAGCUGUUCUGUCUUUUUUUUUAUUUUGAUUUUUUUGUUCUUCUGGUUUCUUCUUUUAGAAACAAUACCAUGAUUUAAAACUUAUAAUUGAGUUGGGGACAUAGCUUCAUACUACAACAUCUGCCUAGCAAACACAAGGACCUGUGCUUGAAUUCCACAGUACCAAACAUCUACAACUAGCAGUCAUCUCUGUCAACUCCAGGAACUGAAUGUCAACUCUUAGACAUCCAUGGACCAAACAUUACAUCUUCCAGUCAUGUUUGAAGAUGGCAGAGAUCUGGAUUCUGUAGUCCCUCAGUAAACAUGAGUAGAGUAAUAAUGGAAAGCUGUGGUAUAUGACUUGUCUAGAAUUUUCUAUGAAUUCCCAUUUUGCUCUUAUGAACAGAUAAUGUUGAUCUGGCAGGAUUGCUCAGUGGGUACACACUUUUUACUGAGCUCGAUGGCAUGAACUUGAUCUCUGGGACCCACGUGGUAGCAGAAGAAUCAGUUCCUGCAAGUUGUCCUUUGACUUACAUAUGCACCAUGCAACGUGGGCACAUGCAUGCACACAUACUAGCUGUAAAAAAAAGUAGGGAAUUUAACAUACUCAGAAGUGUGAUUAACAUACUACACUGCCAAAACACUAUUAGAGUUCACAUUUUAAAGGAAAAUAAAAUACUAAAAUUACAUUGUCUCUCAGUGUUAUUAAACAAAAUAGUCCCAAAGAGCUAUAUUAUCUAAUGGAAUAUUCCUUUAUAUAACAAAGGCAAGGUAUGUGUAGGCACAUGUUCCCAAGGCUUAUGAAAUCUGUGAGACUGUAACUUUCUAUAGGAGUAUAGUAGGAGAUUGCAAGUGGAGAUGAUCAGAUUCAAAGGGAUGUUGUAGAAAAGUAGCCACAUUCUAACUCUGGGAGGUUUUCUUUGAGGUACUGGGAAAUUGGCCAGGUACUGAAUUUGGCCAGGACUUUCUGACUAAAAUAAGCCCAUUCCCUUUAUUCUGUUCUUUUUAUUUUGGGGUUUUGGUUAAUAUGUUUUAUUUUUUGAGACAAGUCUCUGUCUCUCUCUCUCUCUCUCUCUUCAUUGUAGCUUUGGUUGUCCUGGAACUGUAUAUGUACACUACACUGACUUUGAACCUGCAGAGAUCCACCUGCCUCUGCCUCCCAGUACUGAAAUUAAAGGCAUACACCACAAUACCCUGCUUUAAGGGAAAAUUUUUUCUUCUUUUCUUUUUUUUCGGAGCUGGGGACCGAACCCAGGGGAAAAUUUUUUUCUAGUUUUGUUUGCUUUUCUUUCAGACAGGGUCUCCCUGUGUAGCCCAUGCUGGACAGAAUUUGAGGCCUUCCUGUAUUAGUCUUCAGUGUGCUGGACAUCACUAUGCCUGACUCAGUUCAGCGAACUUUUAAAGGGACCAUCAUAUAGCAGUUAGCACCAUAGGCUUCAGAACAGGAAACCCACAAAUUAUAUGACCUUAAGCAAUGUAUUUUAUGAACUUGAUAUCUCAUCUGAAUAUAAAAUAGUAACUAUUUCCUCCACUGGGUUGUAACAAAAGGCUAAGUUCAUGUAAAGGACUCACAUCAUAUAGAACAUAGAAGCACAAAGCUUAGUUUAGGUCUGGUCUACACAGUGGUUCCCAGGACAGCCAGAGCUACAUAGUGAGACCCUGUCUCAAACCCAAAUAAAUAAACUACCAAAAAUGCCCUUAGCCCUACUCUGUACCGUCCCAUCUACCUUUUUCUUAUGUUUUAUUCCCUUCUUUGUGUAACUUUGUCAAAGUUUGCUCUUAGAGCUGAAAAUUCAAAGCCCAAUUCCUGUCUCCAGCCUACUUGUUACUUUGAAAAUGUUUUAUUCACUUGAUGUAAUAUUUUGCAAAGGAGACUGUGACAGGUUGCUUGCUUUACUGUUUUGAUUGAACAUCCAGAACUUAUAGAGCCUCACACAUUCUAUGCAGCUGAACUACAGUCCCAUAUUUUAGAAUUUUUCUAUCCAUCUUCCUUCUGGUAAUUUUUUAUUAUUAAUUAAAUUUGUUCUUAGACAUUUCACACAUGUGCACCAUGCACCACCUACCUUCUUAGAAUUGUGUACCCCUGAAUAUCUCUUUUACAUUCAUGUCUAUUCAGUUAAUUUUAUGACACACUAACCAGGGCUACCUGUGUGACCAUGAUCUGGUGAAAUUUAAAACCAUAAAUGUUGUACAAUUUCUGUCACAUUGGUAUAUCAUAUGUGCUUUAUGUGUAAGAAGUGUAAUGUUCUUCGUGCCCCACUUCAUGAACUAACACUUGUCCCUGUGGAGAGAGACAACAGUUUCUGUGUUGAAAUGGAUGCACGGAGCAAGAGAUUGUGACUUUCAUAGUACGUGAUCUCUUAUAGUGUAAUAUUAGCACUUCUGUGUUUUACUAAAUAUCUAACCAAAUACUAGACAUAAUUUGGAAAUUAAAUUUCCUGAACUCAAGUAAAAUCUAUAAUGCUGACAGCAUCAGAUUUAAAUAAUCAGAUAAAUGUAUAAGCACAUAAUUGCAUGGCUGAGUUCAAGAAUACUAAAUUGUGCAAGUCCAGGGGAGUACAUUCACAAUACAGUUUACAUAAUGGGAAGGAAAGGAUAGAACAACAUUAAUAUGAUAAUAAUACUCAUGACAUGGUUGAGAGAGAAACGAUAUCACUUCUCUUACUUCUUCCUCUUUCUCUCUUUCUUUUCUUCUCUUUUCUUUUCUUUUCUUUUCUUUUCUUCUCUUUUCUUUUUCUUUCUUUGUGAGACAGGGCUUCUCUGAGUAGCCCUGGCUGUCCUGGAACUCAUUCUGUAGACCAGACUGGCCUUGAACUCAGAGAUCCACCUGUCUUUGCCUCCUGAGUGCAACACUAAAAAUGUGCACCACCAUCCACCUGUUAAAGUUUAUAUAUUUCAACUUCAGCUCAUUCUAUCUAAAGCUUUCUUGUUAAGUUUUUGAAGCAUAUCUUUGUAUGUAUCUGAGGCUAGCCUUGAAUUCAAGAUCUGCCUACUUUGUUUUCCUGAGCGCUAGGAUUAUAUAGGGUUAUAUAUGCCACUGUGCAUGGCUUCAUCUUAAACUAUUCUUUGUCUCUGUUCCACAAAAAAACAUGCUUGUUCUACCAAAUGUGAAAUGCUUUUUGAAUGCUUAAUUCACCAAUAUAUUAGUUUUAUACAGGCCAGAAAUAAAUUCAAAUUAGGGUUUUCAGUGUGAACACAUUCAUUUUACUCUUGAAUAUAGAAUUAAGAAUAUGGAUACUGGUGCUAAUUGUUUGCUUCACAAAGAUGGUCUGUAUAAACAGUUUACCAAAACUUGCCCCAAAACAAAAUUGAAUUCAAAUGAUGUCUAAUUGAGUGGCAGACAAAGAAAGAUUUGACAGAAUAGGAUAUGCCCAAUUCUCAGGAGAAGAGAAAGAAGAGAGGCCUCUUAAGGGCAUAGAGGAGAGAGGAGAAGACAGGAAGAAGAGAUACAGAAGAGACAGAUG